GACGGUACUUGAGGAAUAAGCCACGGCUAAUUCCGUGCCAGCAGCCGCGGUAAUACGGGAGUGGCAAGCGUUAUCCGGAAUUAUUGGGCGUAAAGCGUCCGCAGGCGGCCUUGAAAGUCUGUUGUUAAAGCGUGGAGCUCAACUCCAUUUAAGCAAUGGAAACUACAAGGCUAGAGUGUGGUAGGGGCAGAGGGAAUUCCCGGUGUAGCGGUGAAAUGCGUAGAUAUCGGGAAGAACACCAGUGGCGAAGGCGCUCUGCUGGGCCAUAACUGACGCUCAUGGACGAAAGCCAGGGGAGCGAAAGGGAUUAGAUACCCCUGUAGUCCUGGCCGUAAACGAUGAACACUAGGUGUCGGGAGAAUUAACCCUUCCGGUGUCGUAGCCAACGCGUUAAGUGUUCCGCCUGGGGAGUACGCACGCAAGUGUGAAACUCAAAGGAAUUGACGGGGGCCCGCACAAGCGGUGGAGUAUGUGGUUUAAUUCGAUGCAACGCGAAGAACCUUACCAGGGUUUGACAUCCUGCGAAUCCCUUGGAAACGAGGGAGUGCCUUCGGGAACGCAGUGACAGGUGGUGCAUGGCUGUCGUCAGCUCGUGUCGUGAGAUGUUGGGUUAAGUCCCGCAACGAGCGCAACCCACGUCUUUAGUUGCCAGCAUUCAGUUGGGCACUCUAGAGAGACCGCCGGUGAUAAACCGGAGGAAGGUGUGGAUGACGUCAAGUCAUCAUGCCCCUUACAUCCUGGGCUACACACGUACUACAAUGCUACGGACAAAGGGCAGCAAACUCGCGAGAGCUAGCAAAUCCCAUAAACCGUGGCUCAGUUCAGAUCGUAGGCUGCAACUCGCCUACGUGAAGGAGGAAUCGCUAGUAAUCGCAGGUCAGCAUACUGCGGUGAAUACGUUCCCGGGCCUUGUACACACCGCCCGUCACACCAUGGAAGUUGGCCAUGCCCGAAGUCGUUACUCCAACCCGCAAGGGAGGAGGACGC
rnacentral:rRNA from 1 species